CAGGAACAGCAGCUGUUCAGAUAAAACUGACCAUUGGCUGUCAUCAUUAGAAGAAUGUAUCCAGCUUGAACUCGACCCAAAAGGAACUCCAGUGAACAGUGAAACAAAAAAGAUAACAGUACAUGUAAGAAACAUUCCAGCUAAUAGAUCUGAUGGUACAUAUAAAUGUUUUUUUAUAAAUGGCUCAAAAAAAAUAGAUGAGACACCUGCAGGGAGAAUUGAUAAUGGUAAUACCUUCACAUGUGAGGCACCAAAAGUGAGCAGUCAUACCUUAUCAGAACUUGUGUUUGCAUUCUCAACUCAGAAUGUAAUUCUUGCAAAGGCAGAUUUCUUAUUUUAUGACUGCCAAACCUACAGGAAGUGUGGAGAGUGUGUGAAAACAGUAGGUGCAAAUUGCACGUGGGAUUUGAACAAUGCCAAGUGUACAGAUCACUCAGCAGAACACAUAAGCAAUGUAA